GCGCAAAAUCUCUGAAGAUUCGCCAUCUCUCUCUCACAAAGACAGAAACAAAAAGAAAAAGAAAACUCCCCGUCCUACUCACUCUCUCAACUUCUCUCUAAACCUUGUUUGUCGUCUCUAUCGCUUCUCUAUCGCUUCUCUAUCGCUCAUCCCAAACCUAUCUCAAACGCAAUCACCUCUCUCAAUCUCUUCCAAUCGCGUCUCUCUCACCCUCAAUCCUCUCAAACCUAAAGACGCCACAUAAGAGAGAUUCAGAGGGAAAACGAAGUGGUGCUCACCUUUGGAUAUGAUUCGGUGGUGGCAGCGAGCUUGCAAUGAGCUCUCUUUGUUAGGGUUACAAAUUGAUGCUCAAGAGUUCGAAAGGAGAAAGUUCCAGGAUUGCUUUUGGAUGCUCAGAAUUGGAGUGCCUUCUUUGAUCAUUGGACUCGGAAAGUGAAUUUCUUGGCCUUCGAUGGAAACUUAGGAGUACUGGCAGCAGCCUUUUCAGUCCUUUUUGGUAAAAGCAUUGGGUUGAUGCUUCUUCCGCCAUGGCCAAAUUUGAGACGAAUACACGCUGAGAUGAAUACACGCUUAGAGGCGUGAACGUGAAGAUUAUUGAGUUUCUUGACAAAA